GGCGGAGAGUACGUAAAUGCAGUCGAGCGGAAGAUGGGAGCUUGCUCCCUGAUGUCAGCGGCGGACGGGUGAGUAACACGUGGGUAACCUGCCUGUAAGACUGGGAUAACUCCGGGAAACCGGGGCUAAUACCGGAUGCUUGAUUGAACCGCAUGGUUCAAUUAUAAAAGGUGGCUUUUAGCUACCACUUACAGAUGGACCCGCGGCGCAUUAGCUAGUUGGUGAGGUAACGGCUCACCAAGGCAACGAUGCGUAGCCGACCUGAGAGGGUGAUCGGCCACACUGGGACUGAGACACGGCCCAGACUCCUACGGGAGGCAGCAGUAGGGAAUCUUCCGCAAUGGACGAAAGUCUGACGGAGCAACGCCGCGUGAGUGAUGAAGGUUUUCGGAUCGUAAAACUCUGUUGUUAGGGAAGAACAAGUACCGUUCGAAUAGGGCGGUACCUUGACGGUACCUAACCAGAAAGCCACGGCUAACUACGUGCCAGCAGCCGCGGUAAUACGUAGGUGGCAAGCGUUGUCCGGAAUUAUUGGGCGUAAAGCGCGCGCAGGCGGUUUCUUAAGUCUGAUGUGAAAGCCCCCGGCUCAACCGGGGAGGGUCAUUGGAAACUGGGGAACUUGAGUGCAGAAGAGGAGAGUGGAAUUCCACGUGUAGCGGUGAAAUGCGUAGAGAUGUGGAGGAACACCAGUGGCGAAGGCGACUCUCUGGUCUGUAACUGACGCUGAGGCGCGAAAGCGUGGGGAGCGAACAGGAUUAGAUACCCUGGUAGUCCACGCCGUAAACGAUGAGUGCUAAGUGUUAAAGGGUUUCCGCCCUUUAGUGCUGCAGCCAACGCAUUAAGCA
rnacentral:rRNA from 1 species